GCUGCCACAAAUGAAGUUGAAUAUGAUUGAUAUAUACAACUCGUGCUGAUAGACUAACCAAAAGACAUUAAUAAAUUAAUGAAUUCCAUUACAAUUCUACUACAAAUAGACCAGAUCAACCAAUACAUUGUUCAACCCAAAGAAAAAGAAAAAUACAUUGUAAGACCUACGGCAACAAAUACGUACAAGUGCAAUCAUGCGCUCAUCCUAGAGCACAUGAGUCUAAUAUGAGAAACCCUAUAUGCAUUCAUUUGGAAAUAUGGGUGUGGAUGCAUUGUAUAAUGCUUAUGUGCUUCUGCGUAUCAUCAAACUUUCUCGGCAUUGCUCUCCGAGGUAGUACUGGUCGUCGAGGUGGUACUGCUUGAGGGAUACCCGACUCCGUUGCGCGUGCUCGGG
rnacentral:lncRNA from 1 species